rnacentral:lncRNA from 1 species
ACAAUGCUUAGUGAUUGAGCAAUAGAAUGAUAGAAGAAAUUCAAUGCCAAUAGAUGUAAAAUGGUGCAUAUGGGGGAAAGAGCACUCUAGCUACAUACAGAAUGAGAGUUUCUAAAUUAGCUUCUGAUGUUCAGGAAAGAGAUUUUGGAGUCAUUACUGAUAAGUCCCUGUGAAAAUCAGUUCAUUGCUCAGCGGUGAUCAAAAAGAUUAUUAGGAAUUGUCAGGGAAGGAAUAGGGAACAAACAGAAAAAAUUAGUUAUGCUACCACAUAAAUUCAUGAUUUAUUUUUAUUCUGCAUAUUGUGCAGUGAACUCAUCACCACAGCUUGGAAUGGAGAGCUGAAAGUGUCCCAGAAAAAGGAAGAAGCAGGCUCAGUGAAUGGAAUGACUUCUCUGUGAGAAAAGGCAAAAUAUACUGGGUAUUUUCAUCUUGGUGAAGAGAUGAAGCCUGAUAACAUCAUGAAUGGUAAUGGGUAGUUGAGGAAAGAGAUUAAUUAUCAUUCCUGACAAUAUAAGAAUAAGGGCUGAUGAAAUAAUCAGCUGGGCGUUUAAAAAGGGAGCACUUCAUCACCCAGCAUGUGGUGAAGUUGUGCAAGUCAUGGCCACGGGAUGUUAUGGAGACCAAAAUAAUAAAUGGGUUCAAAAGCUGAUGGGGCAGUUUGGCAGGGAAUAAGGCCAUAAUUUUCCGUUCAAAAUUAUAUUGAGGAUGAAACCCCAGAAGUUAAUGUGUCACCAGGAGCAGGAGAGGGCCACUCAGUGCCUGCAUUACUUCUCAUACGCUUCACUUGAGUGUUUCCUUCUGACCACACUCAGGAUAUGGAGCCAGGCUUUUCCACAUCUUCCAUCUCUGUCUGACAUGGGAGCCCUAAACGUAUCAGUGUCUGUCCCUCACAGCUCUUCAAAAUGUCAGAGAAACAGCCAAAUCCCUAUUUACAAGGGGAUCACUGUCCUAGGAAGGGUCUACUGGGACGGGAAAGGCACUGAGGGACUGACAGCCACCUUCUUCCUCCCCAUGCUCUGUGGUGCCCUGGAGAAAUGGCCAUGCAGCACCUUGCCAUGCCAGCCCUUCUCCUGCCAGUCCUCCCAGAACUUGCCUCCUCUGGGCUGCAUCCAGUCCUUAUGACUAAGGCACAGUGAGAGAGGAAAAAAACCCCUCAGUGCAGCAAAGCCCUCAAGUCCUUAGUCAACAUCGAAGCGAAGCCUACGUGGUUUGGUCAAAAUCCAGCAGCACAUCUGUGGAAGAGGUGGGAGCUGGAUCCAACCCUCUUCUGACUUGGAUAGUAACCUGUAAUUACAGCUGUCAGACUGUAAGACACCUAAUAUAUCCUUCUUCGAUAUUCUUUUUUCUCUUGGUGUAAUGUUUUCUUGUAUCCAGCAUGCUGCAAUUCUGGGUUUUUCCCUUUACAGCAGUUGGUUUCUCGGCAUAGUCCCUGACCACAAAUACUUUCGAGUGGAACAGCUGGCUCUAAUGUGUGCUCUAGAAACGUUACUUUCUGCAAUAUUCCGUUUUUCUCCCAAACAAUAUUUUUCCUCUCGUGUUUGCCCAGAAAAGCUUGUAAGCUGAUCAGCGUCUGAAGCAACAAAGGGUCCAUUUGAGAACAAAGGCUCCAAAAGCCACAUAAAUGAUUUCCCAGAACUCGAGGUGGUUGCAGGGGAGAUAGUUUGCAGAUCAGCCGUGCACAUGGGAACUCUGCAAGGCUGCCUCCCUCCUCUUUCUCCGUGCUGCCUCUCCCCACUGGUCCUACCAGUUACCAUAACUGCAGAGGCAUUCUCACUUUGUUUCUUCACUGGUGAUCCCACCUAACUUCGUGGUUUUUAGUUCUCCUUCACUUCUAGCCAAACCUAUUUGAAUGUUCAGAGGAGGAAAUAUGGCAACCCAGUUCCUUCUGUUGUUUCUCACUGCCAUUACAGCUGCUUUUUUCAGAACUACAGGCUUAGGAGCUGUCCUGCACUGUGUGAGUAAACAAACCUUCACCUACUUAGAGAGGGAGUACUGGUCUGCAAGAAAGAGGCUGUGUACUCAGUAAAGUGGAGAUACAGGACGAAGCAGGAAUGUUCAAUGUACUUUCAGGCAUGGGCAACAUGAAAAGGCUGCUGAACUCCAGAGAAAACUCUAGCACUCUUCUGGUAUGUUUGCAAUACAGAUGAUGUAAAUAAUAUAUAGCUCCUGGAAGGAGUGCAGGAAUAUAUAAAGUUUUAUGUAGGGGAGCGCUGCACGCAUGUGGGAGAUUCAGAGGCAGCUACAAAUCACGGGCUGGAUGCCAACCAGUGAAAUGGUGCCCACAGUAAACGAGGCUUGGGGACUGAAUUACUUAAGUAAUUAAAGUGGAUUGUGACUCACAUGCUGAAAGGGUAAAUUGUGCACUGCCACAAUCCACCAAGUUAUUUAAUUUUGGAAAAUCAAAACUCCUCAGUGACGGGGGAGGAGGAUUUAUUAUUCUAUUAUUUUAUCUCUGCAAGCCAAGCUGUAGGCAAAUAUGAUCACGGUUUUUAAGGGUUUGCCUGAGCAGGGCUGUCUUGUUGGCCAGUCACUUCAUCAUUAACAGAAGGCAUGGAGAAAUAGAGCAUGAUUCAAACAUGUGAAAAAAUGUAGCUUAACCAUUUUAAAUCCUUUAGGGCUUUUGCUGUUGAGAAGUGAACAAAGCUAUGCAUACUUUCAGGGGCCUGCUGUCCAGCCAUGUCUGGCUGGUGGCUGUGCAAGGUGGAGCUUCCUCUGCUAAAGUGCUCCCACCCAUCUCAGAGUGGGCACAGGAGCACCAGAUGGAGAAACCUAGAGUUUCAGCUUUCAAGGAGCUGAGGCUGAAACCCCACUCGGCUCCCAAAAGCCUGUUCCAUAGAUUUCUGUGGAACCUAUCAGUUUGCUUUUUGGACCUGGAGACUUGCUUUUCCAGCUCUGUUCUUUGGGGCACACGUGGGAUUGAGCUGCCUUGUCUCUUUGCACAGCCACUGUCCCAGACCCCCUUUCUUCUUCGCUAAAAAACAGAAGGUAGAAGAGAAGGUCCCAACUCAGCUCUUACCUCCCAUUCUAGCGAAAGGUGUCCCCUGAAAUUUGAAAUGAGAUGAACUCUAAGGUCCCUUCCAACCCAGGCCAUUCUAUGAUUCUGUGACUCUCAAUUCAGCCUUUUCAUAGUUUUCCUCCCUCCUUUCAACCCAGAGAAUACACCUAGUGUCUUUUUCAGUGUUAGAGUCUGCAGCCAUUCUUUUUUUUUCCCUCUGCUCAUCCAUCCAUUUAAUGCUUAGCAUGACCAUGAAUAUUUGCCAUAUGGGCCUGUCUCUUGAUAUUUUAAUCUGCCCUGAGUUUUGGGUCAGUAAUAAGCAAUAAGAACAAUUAUAAAAAAAUUUGUCACACUUGAAAUAAAACAGAAUUAUUUAUUUUAUUCCUCCA